UACGAAGGGUGCAAGCGUUACUCGGAAUUACUGGGCGUAAAGCGUGCGUAGGUGGUUUGUUAAGUCUGAUGUGAAAGCCCUGGGCUCAACCUGGGAAUGGCAUUGGAUACUGGCGAGCUAGAGUGCGGUAGAGGGUAGUGGAAUUCCCGGUGUAGCAGUGAAAUGCGUAGAGAUCGGGAGGAACAUCUGUGGCGAAGGCGAGUCCCUGGACAACUCCUGACACUGAGGCACGAAAGCUAGGGGAGCAAACAGG
rnacentral:rRNA from 1 species